UGGCACCCUAUCCCCUAUAUAGUACACUACUGUGGGCACUGGUCAAAAGUAGUGCACUAUAUAGGGGAAAGGGUGCCA
rnacentral:pre_miRNA from 1 species